rnacentral:ncRNA from 1 species
CCUCUGGAAAGCCCGGCCCGCCCCGAAACGGGCGUUCCGGCACCGACGGAGUAAGGCGCGGGCGCCAUGCCCGGCCGAAUCUCUCAGGUCCAUGGACAGAGG